rnacentral:rRNA from 1 species
UGGGUAACUUGCCUCAAAGAGGGGAAUAGCCUCCCGAAAGGGAGAUUAAUACCGCAUAAUAUGUUUAAGUCGCAUGACUUUAACAUCAAAGGAUUUUUCUUUUAGAAACUUCCACUUUGAGAUGGACCCGCGGCGCAUUAGCUAGUUGGUGAGGUAACGGCUCACCAAGGCAACGAUGCGUAGCCGACCUGAGAGGGUGAUCGGCCACAUUGGAACUGAGACACGGCCCAGACUCCGUAGGGAGG